CACGUAGGCGGACUCUUAAGUCGGUGGUGAAAUCCUGGAGCUCAACUCCAGAACUGCCUUCGAUACUGAGAGUCUCGGGUCCGGGAGAGGUGAGUGGAACUGCGAGUGUAGAGGUGAAAUUCGUAGAUAUUCGCAAGAACACCAGUGGCGAAGGCGGCUCACUGGCCCGGUACUGACGCUGAGGUGCGAAAGCGUGGGGAGCAAACA
rnacentral:rRNA from 1 species